AGGACGGUCUUGGGGGGGGGGGUCAAAGAGUGAGCAGUAAGACCCUUCAGCUUGCGCACAGCAGGGUGGACUGUGAAGUCUUGAUAGGGCAGGAUGCACAGAUGUUGGCACAGAACAAUACCUACUACAGGAAGCUGCAGACAACCUGCGAAACCUGUCCAAGAGAUAAGCCGUGGUAGUACGCAAUGAGUUUCUGCUUUACCACAUGACCCUAACAAGAGGCCUAGAAACAGUGGGCUAAUCCAGCUAUGCUCUAGGAACUAUAACAAACCCUUUCUCUUUAUAAGAAAUUGGCUCAGGCGUUAUGAUGAAAAGCUGUGUAACACAGGCUUUGAGGCAUAAAACCGAUUUCUAUUAAAUGUAGAAACAAAAUGAAGA
rnacentral:lncRNA from 1 species